rnacentral:rRNA from 1 species
UGAAAAGGCUUAAAUAAAUUAAGGGGACGAUAAGACCCUAUAAAGCUUGACAAUAAUUUAAUUAUACUAUCAAUUGUUAGUGUAACUUGGUUUUAAUUAACAUUUGUUGCGUUGGGGCGACGAGAAUAUAAUAAGUAACUGUUCUUAAAUAUUUAAUAACAAAUAUAAUUGAAAAUUAGUGUGAUCCUCUAUUAGCGAUUAAAAGAUUAAGUUACUUUAGGGAUAACAGCGUAAUCUUCUUUGAGAGUCCCUAUCGACAAGAAGGUUUGCGACCUCGAUGUUGAAUUAAGGUAUCCUUAUGAUGCAGCAGUUAUAAAGGAAGGUCUGUUCGACCUUUAAAUCCUUACAUGAUCUGAGUUCAAACCG